GUGCCAGCGCCGCGGUAGUACGGAGGGUGCGAGCGUUAAUCGGAAUUACUGGGCGUAAAGCGCACGUAGGCGGGUUGUUAAGCAAGAUGUGAAAGCCCAGGGCUCAACCUUGGAAUUGCAUUUUGAACUGGCAAGCUAGAGUUUUGAAGAGGGUGGUAGAAUUUCCAGUGUAGCGGUGAAAUGCGUAGAUAUUGGAAGGAAUACCAGUGGCGAAGGCGGCCACCUGGUCAAAAACUGACGCUGAGGAGCGAAAGCGUGGGGAGCAAACAGGAUUAGAUACCCCGUAGUCC
rnacentral:rRNA from 1 species